rnacentral:rRNA from 1 species
GAUGAACGCUAGCGGCAGGCUUAACACAUGCAAGUCGAGGGGUAGAGGAAGCUUGCUUCCUUGAGACCGGCGCACGGGUGCGUAACGCGUAUGCAACCUACCUUUUACAGAGGGAUAGCCCAGAGAAAUUUGGAUUAAUACCUCAUGGUAUAUAUCAUUCGCAUGUUUGAUAUAUUAAAGUUCCAACGGUAGAAGAUGGGCAUGCGUCCUAUUAGCUAGAUGGUAAGGUAACGGCUUACCAUGGCAACGAUAGUAGGGGUCCUGAGAGGGAGAUCCCCCACACCUGGUACUGAGACACGGACCAGACUCCUACGGGAGGCAGCAGUGGGAAUUUUGGACAAUGGGGAACCCUGAUCCAGCAAUGCCGCGUGAGUGAAGAAGGCCUUCGGGUUGUAAAGCUCUUUGUCAGGAG